AUGAUGAUGCCCCUGACGCGGCGGCGGCUGCUGGCCACGCUGCUCUGCCUGUGCGCGCUCCCCUCCCCGGCGCGGUCCCAGAACGCGAGCGCCACGCCGGCGCCGGCCAGCGUGGAGGGGUUCAACUGCUCCGCCAACGGCACCUACCCGUGCCAGGCCUACGCGCUGUACCGGGCAGGCUUCGCCGGGGUGCCGCUCGACCUCGCGGCGGUGGGCGACCUCUUCGGCGUCAGCCGCUUCAUGCUCGCGCACGCCAACAACCUGUCCACCUCGGCCGCGCCGGCCGCGGGGCAGCCGCUGCUCGUGCCGCUCCAGUGCGGCUGCCCCUCCGGCUCGCCCAACGCCUACGCGCCCACGCAGUACCAGAUCAGCUCCGGCGACACCUUCUGGAUCGUCUCCGUCACCAAGCUGCAGAACCUCACGCAGUACCAGGCCGUGGAGCGCGUCAACCCCACGGUGGUGCCCACCAAGCUCGAGGUCGCCGACAUGGUCACGUUCCCCAUCUUCUGCCAGUGCCCCACCGCCGCCCAGAACGCCACCGCGCUCGUCACCUACGUGAUGCAGCAGGGCGACACCUACGCCUCCAUCGCCGCCGCCUUCGCCGUCGACGCGCAGUCCCUCGUCUCCCUCAACGGGCCCGAGCGGGGCACGCAGCUAUUCUCCGAGAUACUAGUGCCGCUCCGUCGGAAGGUGCCGCAGUGGCUGCCGCCAAUCGUGACCCGCAACGACGUGCCGGCCACGCCGCCGUCCCCGCCGCCUACCGCGACGCCCGGCCCAAGCGACGUGGCCGACAACCGAGGCGGGGUGGUCACCGGGCUGGCCGUCGGGUUGGGCGUGGUCGGCGGGCUUUGGCUGCUGCAGCUGCUGCUGCUGGGCUGCCUGUGGAGGCGGCUCAAGGCGACGGGGCGGCGAGGGGACGCGGUGGCGAGCGGCGAGGGCGGCGAGGGCGGCAGGUCUGGCAAGAGCGCGUCCGGCUCCGGCGGCGUGGGAGGGGAGAGAUUCCUAGUGAGUGACAUAUCCGAGUGGCUGGACAAGUACAGGGUGUUCAAGGUGGAGGAGCUGGAGCGCGGCACCGACGGGUUCGACGACGCGCACCUCAUCCAGGGCAGCGUGUACAAGGCCAACAUCGGCGGCGAGGUCUUCGCCGUGAAGAAGAUGAAGUGGGAUGCCUGCGAGGAGCUCAAGAUCCUGCAGAAGGUGAACCACAGCAACCUGGUGAAGCUGGAGGGGUUCUGCAUCAACACGGCGACGGGCGACUGCUUCCUGGUGUACGAGUACGUGGAGAACGGGUCCCUGGACCUGUGCCUGCUGGACCGCGCGCGGGCGCGGCGGCUGGACUGGCGCACGCGGCUCCACAUCGCGCUGGACCUCGCCCACGGCCUCCAGUACAUCCACGAGCACACCUGGCCGCGCGUGGUGCACAAGGACGUCAAGAGCAGCAACGUGCUCCUGGACGCCCGCAUGCGCGCCAAGAUCGCCAACUUCGGCCUCGCCAAGACCGGCCACAACGCGGUCACCACCCACAUCGUGGGCACGCAGGGCUACAUCGCGCCCGAGUACCUCGUCGACGGCCUCGUCACCACCAAGAUGGACGUCUUCGCCUACGGCGUCGUCCUGCUCGAGCUCGUCUCCGGCCGCGAGGCCGCCGGCGACGGCGGCGAGCUGCUGCUGCCCGACGCGGAGGAGAGGGUGUUCCGCGGCCGGGAGGACCGGCUGGAGGCGCGCGCGGCCGCGUGGAUGGACCCCGUGCUCGCCGACCAGAACUGCCCGCCGGGGAGCGUGGCCACCGUCAUGGGCGUGGCCAGGGCGUGCCUGCAGCGGGACCCGGCCAAGCGGCCGAGCAUGGUGGACGUGGCCUACACCCUGUCCAGGGCGGACGAGUACUUCGCGGACUACUCCGGCGAGAGCGUGUCCGUGGAUGGCAGCGGCGAGAUCGCCGCGCGGUGA
rnacentral:rRNA from 1 species